UACGGAGGGUGCAAGCGUUAAUCGGAAUCACUGGGCGUAAAGCGCGCGUAGGUGGCUAUUUAAGUCAGAUGUGAAAGCCCUGGGCUCAACCUGGGAAUGGCAUUUGAUACUGGAUAGCUAGAGUAUGGUAGAGGUGAGUGGAAUUUCAGGUGUAGCGGUGAAAUGCGUAGAGAUCUGAAGGAACAUCAGUGGCGAAGGCGGCCUCCUGGACUAACACUGACGCUGAGGUACGAAAGCGUGGGGAUCAAACAGG
rnacentral:rRNA from 1 species